UACAGCCAUAUCACAUGGAAACACUGGUUCCCAUAUGAUCACCCAAGUUAAGCAACAUUGAGCCUGCUCAGUACCUAAGUGGGUGACUAUUUGGGAAUACCAGGUGCUGUG